UUUGUGCGCGAGUCUAUCAAUAUUAUUUGUAUUAAAAUAAAUAAGAUGAAUUGGUGCAAAUCUGUCGAUGUCCCACAACUGUAAAUGGAGAGUCUAUACAGAUGCCACUGUAGCUACGUUAUGGGAAGGUGUAAAGCUGAUGAAUCCUAAGUCAGGAUACUGCCGAUAUGAGUAAGACUGA
rnacentral:ncRNA from 1 species